rnacentral:rRNA from 1 species
UACGUAGGGUCCGAGCGUUGUCCGGAAUUAUUGGGCGUAAAGGGCGCGUAGGCGGUCUGUUGCGUCGGGGGGUGAAAACUUACAGCUUAACUGUGAGCGUGCUUUCGAUACGGGCAGACUUGAGGCAUUCAGGGGAGAACGGAAUUCCUGGUGUAGCGGUGAAAUGCGCAGAUAUCAGGAGGAACACCGGUGGCGAAGGCGGUUCUCUGGGAAUGUCCUGACGCUGAGGAGCGAAAGUGUGGGGAGCGAACAGG